GUCGAACGAGAGACCUUCGGGUCUCUAGUGGCGAACGGGUGAGUAACACGUAGGCCACCUGCCCGCGCACCGGGAAUACGCUCUGGAAACGGAGAACAAAUCCCGAUGUACAGGAAGGAGGCAUCUUCUUUCUGUGAAACAUCCUUUAGGGGAUGGGGCGCGGAUGGACCUGCGGUGCAUUAGUUGGUUGGCGGGGUAAAGGCCCACCAAGACGAUGAUGCAUAGCCGGCCUGAGAGGGCGGACGGCCACAUUGGGACUGAGACACGGCCCAGACUCCUGCGGGAGGCAGCAGUAGGGAAUUUUCGUCAAUGGGCGCAAGCCUGAACGAGCGAUGCCGCGUGAGUGAAGAAGGCCUUCGGGUCGUAAAGCUCUGUUGCGGGGGAAAAAAGGCAGCAUCAGGAAAUGGGUGCUGACUGAUGGUGCCCCGCCAGAAAGUCACGGCUAACUACGUGCCAGCAGCCGCGGUAAUACGUAGGUGGCGAGCGUUAUCCGGAAUGAUUGGGCGUAAAGGGUGCGCAGGCGGUCCUGCAAGUCUGGAGUGAAACGCAUGAGCUCAACUCAUGCAUGGCUUUGGAAACUGGAGGACUGGAGAGCAGGAGAGGGCGGUGGAACUCCAUGUGUAGCGGUAAAAUGCGUAGAUAUAUGGAAGAACACCAGUGGCGAAGGCGGCCGCCUGGCCUGUUGCUGACGCUGAAGCACGAAAGCGUGGGGAG
rnacentral:rRNA from 1 species